UACGUAGGGAGCAAGCGUUGUCCGGAAUCAUUGGGCGUAAAGCGCGCGUAGGCGGCCUCAUAAGUCCGUUGUGAAAGUCAAAGGCUCAACCUUUGAAAGCCGAUGGAUACUGUGAGGCUAGAGUCCGGAAGAGGCGAGUGGAAUUCCUGGUGUAGCGGUGGAAUGCGCAGAUAUCAGGAGGAACACCAAUAGCGAAGGCAGCUCGCUGGGGCGGUACUGACGCUAAGGCGCGAAAGCGUGGGGAGCGAACAGG
rnacentral:rRNA from 1 species